GACGAACGCUGGCGGCGUGCUUAACACAUGCAAGUCGAACGAUGAAGCCGGAGCUUGCUCUGGUGAAUUAGUGGCGAACGGGUGAGUAACACGUGAGUAACCUGCCCUUGACUCUGGGAUAACUGCUAGAAAUGGUAGCUAAUACCGGAUACGACCCUCGGAGGCAUCUCCAGGGGGUGGAAAGAAUUUCGGUCAAGGAUGGACUCGCGGCCUAUCAGCUAGUUGGUGAGGUAAUGGCUCACCAAGGCGACGACGGGUAGCCGGCCUGAGAGGGUGACCAGCCACACUGGGACUGAGACACGGCCCAGACUCCUACGGGAGGAAGCAGUGGGGAAUAUUGCACAACGGGCGCAAGCCUGAUGCAGCAACGCCGCGUGAGGGAUGACGGCCUUCGGGUUGUAACCUCUUUUAGCAGGGAAGAAGCGAAAGUGACGGUACCUGCAGAAAAAGCACCGGCUAACUACGUGCCAGCCGCCGCGGUAA
rnacentral:rRNA from 1 species